rnacentral:lncRNA from 1 species
UGGUGGCUGGGGUUCAGUCUGCCGCUGCAAAUACCAAAAGCUGUCCUCAUUGAGUCAUCCCUCCCAGAGCAGGAAGAGCAGAGGUUCUGGGAAACAACCCCAAGGAGAGAGACAGGGCAUUUAUAAAACAGCAUGUAAGCAUCUCUGCAGUUGCUGUCCCCAGAGCCCACUUCCUGGAUAUUGCCAGCUGCCUGGACCAACCUUUCCGAAAGAUCAGCCAGGUCACAGUGAGGGUCAAAGCAGGAGGCCACUGGAGGCUCCAAGGGCUCUGAAAUGUUGAGAACUUCCCUGCAGGUACCAGCGAAGAGGGCAAGAACACAGCACUACUUCCUUGGAUACUGUUUCCCUCCUCAGAGGGGUUUUCUGAGCUGCCCUGGGUCCUGUGAGGAAGAUCUCCCCUUCCUGUAAAGACACCAGUCCUACUGGAUCAGGGCCCACCCGUGUGACUUCACUUUUACUUGAGUACCUCUCACAGACCCUAACUCCAAAUCAGGUCACUUGCUGAGGUACUGCAUGUGAAGACUUUGACAUUUGAAUUUUGAGGGGGCCACCGUUUAACCUGAACCACCAAGGACAGAGCCAAAGACCCUGGGUGACAGGCCCAGAACAGGACCUGGUGGAGGCUCUUCUUUAGGGGAGAGAGGGAAAUGGGAGCCACCACUGGCAGAGCCUGAAGGCAGGGCAGCCAGAAAGAAGCUGUGGGAGUCCCCACCAUGGAAGACCCUGCCGAGCAUCCUGUGUCUCCUGAAGCAGACCCUGACAUGAGGACUGGGGGCACGUGUUUAUUAAGGGCGAUCCCCGGAAGGAGGAGAUAACCAGGCAGAAGUCCUAGCAGAGUAUGCCCACGCUGGUUAGUGCUGCUGCAAAGAUGAGCCGAAGACCAUGAGAGACCUCCAGGUGGUCCUUCUGGGGAGAAGAAAUGGGUUUUGGCCCCAAAUCCUUCUGCUGCAUUUUUCCCCUAUCCCUGGGAAGCCAUGAGACCUCAAACCUGUGUUCCCAAGGAGGCGAGCUGCUGUUCCCAGGUGAUGAUAUGAUGUGCUUGGGGAAAGUAAGUGGCUGCCAGACAUGGCUGAGAGCUGUUGUCACUGCCGUCAAGUGCAUGUCUCCAAGCCAUAUCACACGGCGUCCCUCGAUGUGAGGCCACAUGGCAAGUGGGCCGUGGAUCUCCCUCUGCCCUUUGCAAGCACGUAAGACAGCAGAUUUUGCAGAUACCUUGUGGCGCAGGGGAAUUUCCUUUGGCCAGGUCUGAAGAAAUAAAGCAGCAGGCACCGAGAACAAAGCCAAGGCUUUCAAAAGACAAGGAGCCAAAAAACUUACUCAAAAUAAAAGUAGUUUUAAAAUGUC